GCCUUAUUCACAGUGACAGCGGAACGGAUGAGCCGCGGAGUCUCUCCGGUUUCGGUGCGUGUCCGGAAAUCUUCGCCUCUGAGAUCACAACAUCACACUGAAGAGUUUAGUUCAAGCGAUAAUGACUUUGGUUCUUCUACCAUGGCAGGAAGCCAGAAUCUGUGCCAUCUGACACCACCUCAAAAACAACUGGAAAUUAACAACAGAAGGCCAAUCAAAUUCCCUCAGUGAGCAGGUUCAACAUUCACCAAUGCUCUUAUGGUGGCGCAUAUGUUGGGCAAGUUGGACUUUAAACAUGACAAGUGCUCAAUCAGCCUACCAAGCAUGUUUUUGGAAUGUGGGAGGAAAUCGGAGUGCUCGGAGAAAACCCACGCGGGCACGGGGAGAACAUGCAAGCCGGAGGUGGAAUUGAAUCUGCACCCUCCUAACUGUGAGGUGGACAUACUAACCAGUGUGUACUGCCGAUUGGGACAAUAUAUUGAAAAAUACAAAUCAACAAGAGAUUGUUUUCAACUUUCACUGUGAAAGUAAAAUGUAACCCUGUCACUGUCAAACUCUCUCAGUGCCCCCAAUCAGUCCAGUUCUAUCACAACUUCAACGCAGAGUGCCACUGCGCAGGAAGUCACACUGUCUGAGAAGCUAUAAAUAAACAAACACAUUUUAGGCGGCACGUGGUGUCUGCCGCAUGGUAGAAGCCGCAGUAUUUAUUUAUUUACACUGUUUUAUCUUAAUCUAAAUUCAACCAUGUCGACUUUUACAAAUGGACUCAUCCCACUGCUGUCGAAAUAUGUUUUUUUCACCUAGCUGUUGCAGAAUGAUGUUGUUCCCAGCUUUUAAAGGUGUAUCAUAACUAAGUUAGUAAAGGUUGAUCUAAAUAUGGAAAGUCUCUUUCAUUUUUUUUAUCCGUCUUGUUUUUUUUGCUGUGUCGUCAUCUUUGCCUCUCUUCUCUUCAUCACCUGUGUCCUCUAUCUUACUUAUCUAUCUUACAUCCUCUUAUUAUUAUUAUUAUUAUUCAACCUUAUAUUAAGUCUGCUUCUUUAGUGAUUGGUUCGCUCCUUGGAGUGUACCUUUAGAAGGAAACUGGAUGUAUUCUAGUGUAGCAUGGACCUCUGUCAAGGCAGGACCAUCAAGGCAUAUGCCUGGACUUGAUAGUGAUGGAAAACGCCUUUAAAGGUUAACAUGGACAAAAAAUGCUGGAAUUGUGUCACAUUCAAAAACCAUACUAAAAUAAAAAAUUGUGUCGUAAGAACAAAACUGCUGCUUGAUACAUUUUCAAAUAGAUUAUUAUUUGGCUAUUUAAAAUGCUUUGAGCAGCCUACGAUGUUGCUAAAGCGCUAUAAAAUAGUGUUGGUUCGUGUGCGAACGAUUCGUUCAAAAUAACCAAUACAUUUUUUUUCAGUUCAUAUGACUUUCACCAGUAGGUGUCGGUAAUGGCCAUUGAAGCUGGUGCCACCUCGCCGUAAAACAAAACGAAGAAUAUGACGUAACACUUAUAGUAGUUGCUAAAUAACGUGUAUGCAUAUAUACGCCUAAAUAUUGUUAUCCAUCAUCCAAAUCCAACAAAUACAAAAUUAAAGCAUCAAUGUCGGCAUAACGUGUGUCGGCUGGCAUAGCAGCAACGCUGUCUGUCACUCACUCGUGAAUCUUCGCGAACGAACCUGAAAAUGGCGGUGUACCUCAUAGAGUGUCUGAGUGACGUCACAGGUCAAACAGCCAAUCAGAAAGUGGGGGUGAGGGCGGUUGUGGCACUUUUCACUUUCCGUAAAGCUUUGACCAUGAUUUUUCCCUAAUGAAGUGGCCUGUGAUUAGGUACACCUGAAAAUGGCGAUGUACCUAAUGGAGUGUCCGAAUGACGUCACAGCUCAAACAGCCAAUCAGGAGGUGGGGGUGAGGGCGGGUGUGGCACGAUUCUUUUGAACACAUCUUUUGAGUGAACCAAUUCUAAAGAUUCCGUUCAUUUUCAACUGGAAUGCACAUCACUAGUACAAAAGAGUGCAUACGGCCAUGGGCUGCCAGGUCGACAUAACCUACUGGUUAGUGACAUGGGCUCUUGCUCGGUAAGAACAUGGUUUGAUCCCAGGUGUGCGCAUACACUUGAAUGUGCUUUUAGAAUUCGGACACUCCAUUAGGUACACCUUUUAUAUUGAGGGAGGCUAUACAAAGUUGAGUAUUUUAAGAUUCCAGUGUUGAUCGAUUGAUGGCGAUUAAAACUUCCUGAAAGUGUCGCCUUCUGCGGCCCCCUCAAGAUGUCUGUAUCACUACAGUCCUGUCUUGGAGUUUCUUCACUGGUUACGUCAGGCUGCAUAAGUAUUCUUGAAGCUGCUGUGAGGUCAAAGGAGGUCCAUCCCUCCUCCAUGCUUCUGCUUUUCUCUACACCACUAUGUCGUUUGUGUUUUAACACAACUGAGGUGUCCUCGGAGACCAGAAAUACGUACAAAUAGCUGCCUGUGGAAGGCGAUGAUCGAUCUGGUGCUUGAACUGACCCACUUCAACAAUGUCUGAUUGUACUUUUUUUUUUAAAUAGGUGAUGAGAAACAUAUGUGUAGCUGGAAAAACUAAGGCAAGAAAAACUGGAUUUCAUGCAAUCAAGACAAAUCUAAUUAAAACACUAUACCUUGUAGAGUUGAUUUGAACCAUUGAACAUUUUUAUCACAGUAUUCACUUAAGCUUACAGUACAUGAGUCAGUUAUUCAGAGCUACAGUAAAAGAAGAUAAUUGUUUUCACACCUGUAGUUGCUUUCCCUGGUCCAAAUCACACAAUGUGUUAACUAAUGCAAUUGACUGUGUGAAAGGACUUUUAGGAUACAUUCACAGGUCUUUAUGCUCAAGCUAGAAUUUCAGUUUUUUGUGUGUGUGCGCUUGUGUGUGGAUGCGUGCGUGUGUGUGCGUGCACGCGUGUGUGUAUGCAGUACAUGCGCUCUCAUGUGCACAAGAAAGAGAUGACAUCACUCGCAAUGUAGUGUUUGCAGAAGUAAAUGUGAUCCAACAUCAAAACUCAGUCUCCCUUCCAAGCAAAAAGUAUUGCAAAACAUCCAAUACGUAUCCGAUCUAGGACCACAUAUUAAAGUGCCCUACGUUGGAUUUGAAACUAACCGGGAUUGAGCUGUUCAUAAUGUUUGAAAAAACAAAAACAAAAAACAGAUUCAGAUUUCAUAUGGGCAAAUAAAUCAGAAUUAAAUUGCAAUGUAAACGUAGCUUUGUUUAAUUUGCCUGCAGUGGAUUUUUUUUGUCCCGCAGAGUUGCUGCCUAUGACAACUUCCACGACCCAACACUCCAGAUGACGCGGCAAUUGUUUCACAACUUAGUUCAGUGGCGUAUAUUUACGGGUCAUCAUUUAUCAUUGUGAAUGGUUGUCAAAGUGUAAAAGGGCAAAGUGAGCCUGGUGUGAGACAAUGUGUAAAGCACAUUUUGUGGUGGGCAAAAUUUAUCAAUUAGUCAAAGGGUCACAAAGUGCAAAGAUACAAGUCAGAAGAUACGCGAGGAGGGUCCUAAUAGGUCCCAUCACUCAGCACUGUACUCUCUUUUAAAGGUUUGGUUAGAAGAGGUUCUGAGUUUGAAUUCUAGCCUUGGCUUUAUCCUUCCUUGUGGAGUUUUCUUGUUCCCUCUGUGCUUACCUGGAUUUAGUCUGGCUUCCUUGUCUUUAUCCCCAAAUUCUCACAAUAUGCAUGUUAAGUACGCUCCAAUAGUCUGAAUGCAAGUGUGAAUGCUUUUUCCCUGUGAUUGAUUCGAGACCGGUCCAGGGUGUACUCCACCUGUGGCCUAAAGUGGGACAGACUCGUGCUUCCCUGUGGCCCUGAACAAAUAAUUUGAGACACUUGUGCUUACAAUACUUUAAGAACUUUGAGAAAGUUCUUUUUACGAUGAUCACAUCUAUAUUUCCCCCAUUUACACUUCCUUUGGUCCGAUGUGUCCCAAUACUUAUGAAAGAAGAAAGAUUCCAAAAUCAGCACCCUUUGGCUAUGAGAGAAGAUUGAACCCUAUUCAUUUGUCUGUAUCGGAGACAGCAGAAAGUAAACAUCCCAAGAUUAGACCAUCUGGUGGGUGGUGAUUCGGUUUAAAUUUAAAUGUUGAUUAGGUUGCUUCUAAUUUAUGUAUAGAUAACUAUUAAUUACUAUCAUUAAAAGAACUAAAAUUCUGAGGUGUGAUAAUACGCCUUUGCAGGUAUGAAGAAUUUUGUCCCAUUUUGUCCAACCGCCCAAUGUUUAUUCUAAUUUAUUGUCGUACAUAUCGUCCUUUUCACCUCUGUAUGUGAGUUUGUUGCUCGUUCACAGCUACAACAUUGUUGAUAUUCAACAUAACCUCGGGCUGAGACGAGAUGAUGAGUUUUUAUUUUACCUUUUUUGUCAAUUGUCUUUAAAUGUCAGAAACAUUCACUCACAUUCACAUGCUACAUAAUAAGUUUCAGUGUCCUCAAGAAGGUAUUGAUAUUUCUUUUUACCAGCUUGGAGAAGGGCAACCUUUUCCACAGACAACACAAAUUGAAAAUAAGAUUUGGUGCUCUUCUUUUGAUGCAGUCUUUAAAGCGUUCAUGUGCACAUAUUUCUUUUUAAUGACCUCUUCAUGCUAUUUUUGUAUCGUUUCUAUUCAAAAUUUGCUUUUUUCUACUCUAUGUAAAUUAGACUGAAUGAUUGGAGAUUUAGAAAAAAACAAUUCAUUCAAUAUCAAAAAGAAAAAAAAACUUGAAGGGAGAAAAGUUUUCAAACAAAUUGCCUUAUUAGUACACGCAGCAUCCGUGUUUUAUUCUUUUAAUGAUUGUGUAGAUCUGAUGCAAUCAAUUGAACGCGAGAAAAUUAUGCCUCAUAGUUGCGAAAAUUUCAUUUUGAAGACAUUGACAUAGAUACAUGACAUCCACAGGUGCCAGUCAGUGAAUUAGAAUAAUUUGCAAAAUUGCAGUUGUUACAAUUUUCAAUGCAUUUUUUGUGUGUGCAGAAAGCAAGUCAGAAAUUUACCACGCCUGUCCUACUUGUGAGAGUAAUCACAGAACUAGCUACCUGUAAAAAACGAAUUGCUCAGCUGAGCUUUCUAAAAGGCCCAUUUAGGCCAUUUAACUGUGACUCUCUUGUUUCAUUGAAUUAGAAUAAUGGAGAAACAGUCUCGCUGAAUUAGAAUAAAAUGUUUUAUAGCUACAAUAAUCACUUUCUCUGUGUUUUGUGGCUGUCCCCUUGGCUUGUAUGACUGCAACGCAAGUUAAUAAUACUCUUUUUAAGAGCUGCAACAGAUUAUCCAACUUCUUUACGUAUAUAAAUAAAAGCCCAUAGUAACAUUAAAAUAGUGAAUCUCCCACCAAAAAUGUGGAAUGUCUAAAAUCGGUGAUACAAUACUAUAAGUGCUCGGUGAAAAAUAACGAAAAUUGGGUAAAAUAGCUAACCCAGUUAUUACCGGGUUAUUUAUGCGGUGCUGGGUCAAGAUUUUGAUCCAAAAAGUAGUGAAAAUGACCUACUCUGAUGAGCUAAAGCCACCAAAAAAGUCUUAUCAGAUUAAUAGAGGCUCAAAACAAUACUGAUUUUAUGACCAAUGUUAUAUUAAAUUGACUUCACUUCAUUGACUGGCUUAGCAAAACAACAAAGCAAUUUUGUGUAUGUUAAUCGAUUCAAACAGUCAGGGCAAUGAUCCUGCAUGUUUUGUACUUUUUUUUAACCACCUUCCUCUUAUGCAAUAGAUAAUAUGAAAAGAAUGCUAAUGUAUGCAGCCACCAAGGGGAGUUGAUGCUAAACCAGUCAGCGGUCGGUUAAAAACAUGGGAACAGGGAUUGGAUUAGUAUAUUUAUCCUAGGAAUUUGUAAUGCACUUACCUCAGCCUCGCUUCCGUUAGUGUAUUGUUCAUGCUCAGCCAAUCACAGCGGUGACAAAGUUAAGACCAAACUUUCUCCACUUUGCCAUUUAACCAGAUUACCAUUUUUCACAAGGCUGCAAAUGCCACAAGCAUUGUUCCGGGCGAUACUCUUCGCACUUGACAAUGCCCCCCCACCCGUUUCAUAAAUUUAUUAGGGGAUUUGUAUAUGCGCUGACACCUGCGCCCUGCCAACAGAGCAAUGUAAAUAAUCCCAUCACACAGCAGCGACUCAUCAGCGACAGGCUAAUCCCUUGUUUAAGGCAGUUACAGCGACCCCACCCAUUAACAGUGCCCUCAUAAAGCAAGAGCUUAGCAUAUAUUAAAGAGUUCUAAUAUGCCAUUCGCUCGCAGCCAACUUGGGCAAAUCUGCAGCGAGAACAUGUCACUUCUGCCGGCUUCAUCAAGUGUGCUGCCAUCCCGUAUCGACGCUGGCCUUCUCAAACCUUCUGUAUGGGGGGAGUAGGGGGGUGAGGGGCUCCCUGUGUAAUAAAUUAGACUUUACCAAGGGAAAGUAGUCUUUGGUGAGCGAUGUUAAGAGAAGUGGGGGAGUCAGCUGCAAGAACUAAGCUUGCGUGACAAUCUCUCUCCAUGCACGUUCUUUUUUUUUCAUGUUGUAGUAUGAAACUCAUGCCGCUCCAUGCUACAUGACUCAGUACAGCAGCACACAUGGAAAAUCAGCCACCGAUUUCUCCAUACUUUAAUCAUACAUAUUUGAAAUGCUGACAUAUAAAUUAGGACAUUUGCGGAAGCCCCCUCACCCCAAAAUAAAGAUUUUUCAACAGGUCGCAUAAUAUAUACAAGAAAGAUAACAAAAACAUAGCUAACAAUAAUCUUUGUCAAGCUAAAAGCACAUAGCUACAAAUAUUAAGUGGCCGACACCUGGCCGGCAGCGCGAGAGCGGAGCGGAGAUGCGACACGUUAAUAAACUACAAGAAAUAAUAAAGCAUUUUUAGUGCAGUCUAUACUUCCCAGCAUCAUGGAGAACAUAAAGAUGAUGGUAAUUCUUGCAAUUUUUGGCAAUUAUUUCAGAAAUGAAACAUUCUCUUUCUUUUGAAACCGGGGUGCUUUACUUCUGCUAUGUUUUCCCAUUCUGACAAUUUUUCUUUGACAAUAUUCUGUGGUCUAUUUAAUUUUUCUUCUGCUCACUGAAUUGAAGUUUGUCCGUGAUGAAGCCGUCGACCGCUUAUGCCCUCGUUUGGUAAUUCCGAGCAUCACUGCAUAAAAGUUUCCACGCUUUUGCAAGACAAAGUGAAAAUUAAUGAAAUCUUCAAUUUUCUGUCUCAAGCUGGUUUAAUAUUUAUUUUCUGUAUCUUUCAAAUUACUGUCUGUGAAGAGGAGAAAACAACUCUGUGUGUGCCUGCAGGCGGCUCUAAACCGCCUAAAUACGAAAACACUCAAUUGUCUUUUUACUUGAAAAUUAAGUUUUGCCCUCCAUUCGGACUCUUUUGUUUAGUUUUGCCUGCAUCGGUGUAGCACAGCGUCCUCUACUUGCUAAAUCUGCCUCUGGUUUCCUUGUAUUCUUUUUUUUUUUAAUCACUUUCUGCCUUCAUCUGCUUGCAACUUGUGUGUGGAGAGGAUUCAAGCAUCUAUAUGAUGAAAUGAGGAAAGUCAUGUUGGGAAAACUGCCGCAUGAAGGCUGCAAAGAUUGAAAUAUCCUUUUUGAAUAGAUAGAAUAGCAUAAAGACGUUUUUGUCUUAGUUAUUCCGUUUAUUAUUUCUUAGGGUUUGUACAACCACAUUUCAUGGAACCUUAAGCAGUAAUGUUUGAGUACAGAGCAUUUUGACCUCCACCUGCCUCAAUGCACGUUUACUGUACAUAAUUCAAGUUGGUACUCUUUAUGUUCACCUAAUCAUAGUGUCUGUUAUUGCAAUAAUGAAGCCGGUCAAAUACCUGCAAGGGCUUUCAUCAGUGACAGUGAUGGCUUUCUCAUUCAAGGCUUCUUAUAAGUGGGCAUUUUAUUAGUUUACGUACACAAAUAUUAUAUUUUAUGCACAUAAAAUACACAAAAACCUGGUACACGAAACCUAAAAAGUAUUCUCUUCCGUGGUUUACCAGUGACAUUUGGCAUCUUAUGAAAAGUCACCUAAAAAGUAUUCCCUUCCGUGGUUGAGCAGUGACAUUUGAAAAGCCGUGACCUGGCACAAAAAAGUGCUUACAAACCAGGCCCAAUAUUGAUCAUCUACCGUUUUUUUCCGUGUAUAGUGCGCCCCCAUGUAUAAUACGCACCCUAAAAAUGGCAUGCUGAUGCUGGAAAAAAGCUUGUACCCAUGUAUAAUACGCACCCAAUUUUUAUGAAUUUUUAAAAAAAAAAUGUUUUUCUUUUUUUUUCUUUUUUUUUUUUUAAGUCCCAAUGAUCGUCACACACGCAGGGAGGCAAUGGGUCCCAUUUUUAUAGUCUUUGGUAUGGUCUUAACUAGGCUGGAUGUAAUUUUUUUUGUUGGCGUUGAUUUCUCCGACUGCCCGUAAACGCACCACCGCGCUCCGUGCGCGCACGGGAAAGAGGCGGCUCUGUAUGGGAGAGACGUUGAAGAGGAAUAAAAACACCCUUGGAAACCAAAACUUGCCCCUCGUCGUGACUCGGAGCCGCAACAAAUGUUUCGGAUUUGUGUAGGGUACAUUGUGACAGACAGCAAACGAGCAGGUGAUCGAGCAAGCGUCUGAUACGAGAGCAUUGCGGUCGCAUGGAGCGUGUUUGAAGUGAACAGCAAAAAAAUUAAAAUUAAAUUUUUUUGUACCCAUGUAUAAUGCGCACCCCAGAUUUUAGGACAAUAAAUUAGUUAAAUUUUGCGCACUAUACACGGAAAAAAACGAUAAUUUAUACUGGUCCAAAAAAUAAAGUCACAGUCAAUGUCAAUAUCUUCUUGCUCAUGUCACAGCUAGUAAAAAAAAAAUACCUUUGAAUGCUUAUAGAAUUUAGCCAACUAAAUGCAUUGUUUCUUAGAGUAGUUGUCAAAAUGGGGACAGAGCUUUUAAUCUGUGUCAUUUGGUUCCUCUGUC